AGAGUUUGAUCCUGGCUCAGGACGAACGCUGGCGGCGUGCCUAAUACAUGCAAGUCGAGCGGAGUUUUGAAAAGCUUGCUUUUCAAAACUUAGCGGCGGACGGGUGAGUAACACGUGGGCAACCUGCCCUUGAGACGGGGAUAACUCCGGGAAACCGGAGCUAAUACCGGAUAACACAUAUCUUCGCAUGAGGAUAUGUUAGAAGGUGGCUUUUAGCUACCACUCAAGGAUGGGCCCGCGGCGCAUUAGCUAGUUGGUGAGGUAACGGCUCACCAAGGCGACGAUGCGUAGCCGACCUGAGAGGGUGAUCGGCCACACUGGGACUGAGACACGGCCCAGACUCCUACGGGAGGCAGCAGUAGGGAAUCUUCCGCAAUGGACGAAAGUCUGACGGAGCAACGCCGCGUGAGUGAUGAAGGUUUUCGGAUNNUAAAGCUCUGUUGUUAGGGAAGAACAAGUACCUGUUAAAUAAGCAGGUACCUUGACGGUACCUAACCAGAAAGCCACGGCUAACUACGUGCCAGCAGCCGCGGUAAUACGUAGGUGGCAAGCGUUGUCCGGAAUUAUUGGGCGUAAAGCGCGCGCAGGCGGUUCCUUAAGUCUGAUGUGAAAGCCCACGGCUCAACCGUGGAGGGUCAUNNNNNCUGGGGAACUUGAGUGCAGAAGAGGAGAGCGGAAUUUCCACGUGUAGCGGUGAAAUGCGUANNNNNUNGGAGGAACACCAGGGCGAAGGCGGC
rnacentral:rRNA from 2 species